CGGAUUGAGAGAGCUGAUUCCCUGCAUCGCUAGAACUUGCGUGGCAGUCGGUAUCGAUGGGAUCUUCAUGGAGGUCCAUGAUAAUCCUCUCAAGGCACCAGUUGAUGCUCCAACACAAUGGCCAUUGAGGCACCUCAAAGUUUUGCUCGAGGAGCUAAUUUCCAUCGCAAGAGUGAGCAAAGGCAAACAGCCAUUUCCGAUUGAUCUUGAGCCAGUGAGAGAUGAUUUUUCAUAACACCAAUCUUCUACCAAGUGAAAGCUAAGUUCAUUCAUCAAUUAUUUCCCUCGAGUUCCAUCCCUUGUCUCUGCCGCACUCAUCAACAUGGACAGUGUGCAGCCGCGAGGGUCGUCUGUGAUCAUCUCCCAGUUAUCUAGAACACGGUGACAGUACUCACACAACUCUUCCUCCCUCGAGGCUCUUCCAUGCGAUAGUUCUUCACGAUGCUCUUCCGGAUCACACCCCUUCUAUCUAUCAGUGUCCUCUCGGCUCUAGUUCUUCACGAUGCUCUUCAGGAUCACACCCCUUCUAUAUCUAUCGGCGUCCUCUCGGCUCGCUCCAACCAUCGAUUACUUCAUCGAUCAUGUCGCCCUCGCCAUUGAUAUCUAUGCGGAACAUGGCAGCGUUGCCGUGUUUAACAACAGUGUCACAUGAUUAGUAUAUUGUUACUUGUGAAAGUAGUUUCAUCUGAUGAUAUUAAUGAUGAUAAUACGCAAGUGUUUUACAA